UGCUGCAUGACGCGUAAUCAAACCUGAAACAAAGGUUCUUUCACAAUUUUCCAACCACUCGAAAUAGAAACAGGAAAAUGAAUUUUCAGUCAUGCCUUCCGUUAGAAAACUUUUGCCUGGAACUGUACAGCCCCCAAGGAUUAAGGAUAUGCUGGAUAAUAUUCAAAGACUGCACCUAGUCCUUGGAGUAGAGUCCUCGGCACUUCAAGGCCUACGGAGUCGGGACCGUGCUUAUCGGGACUUAUCGCAGACCCCCUUCAGACCAUUGUCGUGCCGUCGUGAUCCUUGGAAAAGUCAAGACCAGAAGCACUUUGAAGAUUUGUAGUUUCGAUUGUGAUAAGACUUUUGUGAAAUUUAAUGUACAAUCAGCGACCAAAAAAAAAUCCUCACACUUCCACAAAUGUUAUCCGAUUUGUUUAAUUUCUUUUUCUUCGUGUCAAUAAAUCAAUUUUUAACGAAAGUAAAAUAUUUAUCAAAUAUUACACAAAUACUAUGUCUACU
rnacentral:misc_RNA from 1 species